rnacentral:rRNA from 1 species
GGGGGAUAUUGCACAAUGGAGGAAACUCUGAUGCAGCAACGCCGCGUGAAGGAUGAAGGUUUUCGGAUUGUAAACUUCUUUAGUCAGGGACGAAAAAAAUGACGGUACCUGAAGAAUAAGCCACGGCUAACUACGUGCCAGCAGCCGCGGUAAUACGUAGGUGGCAAGCGUUGUCCGGAAUUACUGGGUGUAAAGGGCGUGUAGGCGGGAAUGUAAGUCAGAUGUGAAAUCCCAGGGCUUAACCCUGGAGCUGCAUCUGAAACUAUGUUUCUUGAGUGCCGGAGAGGAAAGCGGAAUUCCUAGUGUAGCGGUGAAAUGCGUAGAUAUUAGGAGGAACACCAGUGGCGAAGGCGGCUUUCUGGACGGUAACUGACGCUGAGGGGCGAAAGCGUGGGGAGCGAAC